GACGAACGCUGGCGGCGUGCCUAACACAUGCAAGUCGAACGGAAAGGCCCUGCUUUUGUGGGGUGCUCGAGUGGCGAACGGGUGAGUAACACGUGAGUAACCUGCCCUUGACUUUGGGAUAACUUCAGGAAACUGGGGCUAAUACCGGAUAGGAGCUCCUGCUGCAUGGUGGGGGUUGGAAAGUUUCGGCGGUUGGGGAUGGACUCGCGGCUUAUCAGCUUGUUGGUGGGGUAGUGGCUUACCAAGGCUUUGACGGGUAGCCGGCCUGAGAGGGUGACCGGCCACAUUGGGACUGAGAUACGGCCCAGACUCCUACGGGAGGCAGCAGUGGGGAAUAUUGCACAAUGGGCGGAAGCCUGAUGCAGCAACGCCGCGUGCGGGAUGGCGGCCUUCGGGUUGUAAACCGCUUUCGCCUGUGACGAAGCGUGAGUGACGGUAAUGGGUAAAGAAGCACCGGCUAACUACGUG
rnacentral:rRNA from 1 species